rnacentral:rRNA from 1 species
UACGGAGGGUGCAAGCGUUAUCCGGAUUUACUGGGUUUAAAGGGUGUGUAGGCGGGUCUUUAAGUCUGUUGUGAAAUCUCCGAGCUCAACUCGGAAACUGCCUUGGAUACUAUUGGCCUUGAAUUAUGUUGAGGUUGGCGGAAUAUAACAUGUAGCGGUGAAAUGCAUAGAUAUGUUAUAGAACACCGAUUGCGAAGGCAGCUAACUAAGCAUAUAUUGACGCUGAGGCACGAAAGCGUGGGGAUCAAACAGG